rnacentral:tRNA from 1 species
UGUGGGGUGGUAGCAGUUGGUAGCUCACUAGGCUCAUAACCUAGAGGUCGAGGGUUCGAGUCCCUCCCCCGCGC